rnacentral:rRNA from 1 species
CUUGUGAUGAGCUCCCGGCCUAUCAGCUUGUUGGUGAGGUAAUGGCUCACCAAGGCUUCGACGGGUAGCCGGCCUGAGAGGGUGACCGGCCACACUGGGACUGAGACACGGCCCAGACUCCUACGGGAGGCAGCAGUGGGGAAUAUUGGACAAUGGGCGGAAGCCUGAUCCAGCAACGCCGCGUGAGGGAUGACGGCCUUCGGGUUGUAAACCUCUUUCAGUACCGACGAAGCGAGAGUGACGGUAGUACGAGAGCACGCAUC